GCCAGAGACACCUUGACCUGCCGGCCUUCUCUGGUACUGGGAUUCCCAGCGGCCCUCCCAGGGUUAUGCUCCCUCGCAUGAUGUAUUUCCCCUGCCUUUUUUAGAGCAGCGUUGUGCUCGCUCCAGGAAACAGCCUCUUCCUUCUCAUAAACACAGCCUUGGGUUCCUGACCAAGCGUCGUGCCACUCCGCGGCUCCUGAUCCAUCCAUCACACCUUGCUGUCACCGUGACUUCGAUUGUAGAGAACUGGUCCAACUCCAGAGGUGAAUUCAGGAUGGGGAGAAGGAAGAGGCAAGCCCUGGGAGCAGCUGAGGGUCACACACACUCCGUGUUCAGUCCCUGGGUAAAUCCUUUGGAAACUAGCUGACCGGUAUGGUGAGCAAGAAUUUCCAAUGACCCAGUGAGUGUGAUGGGAACAUCCUGAUAAACUCUCCACCACCAGAGCUAGGACUGGCCUUUCCGGUGUGCAGGGACCAAGGAGAGAAGAAAAUAGAGACGCCAUGGAGAAACUGAACUCUGAAAGGACUGAGUGUCUCAUGAAGAUCCGCAGAAAAGCUCGGCUUCUUUAUGAGCAAUGGAGAUUAGCCAACUGUGGGGACUCGGAGGAUCUACAUGAACUACACCUAAAUCGGUCUUCUCUAUCAUCUUGCUAAGUGAUUACCUUGAGAACAACGUGACACACAUCUGUAAUCCCAGCACAUGGGAAGCCGAGGCAGGAGGAUAAUUUCAAGGCCAACCUGAACUAUGUAGUGAAGUCCCGCAUCUAAAAACUGAACAAACAAAUGAAAAUAAGUAGAUACGGGGCUGGGGGUGUAUCUCUGUGAUACAAACGUCUGGGGCGGAAGCUCCAUGAUAGAGUACUUGUUGUCCAGCAUGCAGGAAUCCCUUGCUCAAUCCCAAAGUGGGGUGGGGGUCAAGAUGGGGUACCUGCCAGUUAAUUUCUGAAGUUCAGAAGUUUCAGCCAACACUUUGGGUUCCUUCACAAAGCACCUAACUCCAUCUCAGCUUCUUCUCUAAUGUUCUUGAAUGCUCCCCGCCCACCAUGCUCACCAAACUCAAGCACACCAUUUCCAAACAGUCUCAGAGGAAGAACUCUUGCUUUUACAGUGUGCCUUGGGACCCUCAAACAAAUCUUCCUUACAUUGUCUAAGCAGCAACUCAAAGGCUGUUGCAAUUUGGUGAAAUCCAGAGACAGUGACUGUCAUGAAUUGUAAGAAAAUGAUUACCGGUGCCUUCUGAUUGCAAGCAACAAGCCCAGGACUCCUAGAAAUUGCCAAAUCAUCACCAAUGGAAAGUUCUAGUAUGGCCAGGUAUAGCAGUGCACGCCUCUAAUCCCCGGCACUUUGGAGGCAGAGGCAGGUGGAUCUCUAAGAGGGUAGCCUGGUCUAAGGAGCAAGUUCCACGACAGACAGACAUAAAGAAAACCUGUCGGAAAAAAAAUUUAAGGGGGGGAGGCACACUUGUAAUCCCAGUACCUGAGGACUUUCGAGGUUGCACAGGAGGAUCCUGGGAGGUGGCUGAGCAAGCAGUGUGGCUGAAUUAGUGAGCUCCAGCUUCAGUGAGAGCUUUCUCAAUCCCAAAUAAUAAGGUGGAGAAUUGUCAAGGAAGAUGCCUGUUCACCUCUGGCCUCCACAUGCAUGAACACAUGUACUAGUGCUCAACUGCACACACAUGAACAAAAAAUGUCUUUUAAUAUAAAAGGGGCUUGGAAGGCAUCGUAGUAACAGAGUGCUUGCCUG
ensembl:lncRNA